AAAGAGGCAUUAUUUUCAUUCGAGGACGUGCCUUCCUCUUUGCCUCCUGCUGUCACUAACAUUUUGCAGGAGUUCGCUGACGUCUUUCCACAAGACGUGCCACCGGGACUACCGCCUAUUCGAGGGAUUGAGCAUCAGAUUGACUUAAUUCCCGGUGCUUCACUACCAAACCGUGCACCAUACCGUACCAAUCCAGAGGAGACGAAGGAGAUUAUGCGUCAAGUACAAGAGCUUCUCGACAAAGGUUAUAUACGCGAAUCCCUUAGUCCUUGUGCUGUUCCUAUUAUUCUAGUGCCGAAAAAGGAUGGUACAUCACGUAUGUGUGUUGAUUGUAGAGGCAUUAAUAAUAUUACUAUUCGUUAUCGUCAUCCUAUUCCUAGGCUAGAUGAUAUGCUUGAUGAAUUGAGUGGCUCUACAAUAUUCUCCAAAGUUGAUUUGCGUAGUGGCUACCAUCAAAUUCGUAUGAAAUUGGGAGAUGAAUGGAAAACAGCAUUUAAAACUAAGUUUGGAUUAUAUGAGUGGUUAGUCAUGCCUUUUGGGUUAACUAAUGCUCCUAGUACUUUCAUGAGAUUAAUGAACGAAGUUUUACGUGCUUUCAUUGGACGAUUUGUGGUAGUUUACUUUGAUGACAUAUUGAUUUAUAGCAGAUCUUUGGAAGAACAUUUGGAACAUUUACGUGCUGUUUUUAUUGCUCUACGUGAUGCACGUUUGUUUGGUAACCUUGGGAAGUGCACCUUUUGCACCGACCGAGUAUCUUUUCUUGGCUAUGUUGUUACUCCACAGGGAAUUGAAGUUGACAAAGCCAAGAUUGAAGCUAUUGAGAGUUGGCCGCAGCCCAAAACGGUCACACAAGUGAGGAGUUUUCUUGGCCUCGCUGGAUUCUAUAGGCGUUUUGUGAGAGAUUUCAGCACCAUUGCUGCACCUCUCAACGAGCUUACAAAGAAGGAUGUGCCUUUUGUUUGGGGUACCGCACAGGAAGAAGCCUUAACGGUAUUGAAAGAUAAGUUGACACAUGCUCCUUUACUCCAACUUCCUGAUUUUAAUAAGACUUUUGAGCUUGAAUGUGAUGCUAGUGGAAUUGGAUUAGGAGGUGUGUUAUUACAAGAUGGCAAACCUGUUGCAUACUUUUCUGAAAAAUUGAGUGGGCCUAGUCUGAAUUAUUCUACUUAUGAUAAAGAAUUAUAUGCUCUUGUUCGGACUUUAGAAACAUGGCAACAUUAUUUAUGGCCCAAAGAAUUUGUUAUACAUUCUGAUCAUGAAUCUUUGAAACAUAUUAAAAGUCAAGCUAAGCUGAAUCGUAGACAUGCUAAAUGGGUUGAAUUCAUUGAGACUUUCCCUUAUGUCAUUAAACACAAGAAGGGAAAAGAAAAUGUUAUUGCUGAUGCAUUGUCUCGUCGCUAUACUAUGCUUUCACAACUUGACUUCAAAAUAUUUGGUUUGGAGACCAUCAAAGAUCAAUAUGUGCAUGAUGCUGAUUUUAAAGAUGUAAUGCAGAAUUGCAAAGAAGGAAGAAGGUGGAACAAGUUUGUCGUUAGCGAUGGAUUUGUGUUUCGUGCUAACAAGCUAUGCAUUCCAGCUAGCUCCGUUCGUCUUUUGUUGUUGCAGGAGGCGCAUGGAGGAGGAUUAAUGGGACACUUUGGUGUGAAGAAGACGGAGGACGUACUUGCUACACAUUUCUUUUGGCCAAAGAUGAGACGGGAUGUUGAGCGUUUUAUUGCUCGCUGCACUACAUGUCAAAAAGCUAAGUCACGACUCAAUCCUCAUGGUUUAUAUAUGCCUUUGCCUGUACCUAGUGUUCCUUGGGAGGAUAUAUCUAUGGACUUUGUUUUAGGUUUACCUCGAACAAAGAAGGGGAGGGAUAGCAUAUUUGUUGUCGUGGAUAGAUUCUCGAAAAUGGCACACUUUAUACCAUGUCAUAAAAGUGAUGAUGCUGUUAAUGUUGCUGAUUUGUUCUUUCGUGAAAUUAUUCGCUUGCAUGGUGUGCCAAAUACUAUUGUUUCAGAUCGUGAUACUAAAUUUCUUAGCCACUUUUGGAGAUGUUUAUGGGCUAAGUUGGGGACUAAACUGCUUUUUAGUACUACUUGUCACCCCCAAACUGAUGGACAAACUGAAGUAGUCAAUAGAACGUUGUCUACUAUGCUUAGGGCUGUUUUGAAGAAUAAUAAGAAAAUGUGGGAGGAAUGCUUGCCUCAUAUUGAAUUUGCUUAUAAUCGUUCAUUGCAUUCUACUACUAAGAUGUGCCCUUUUGAAGUUGUGUAUGGUUUCCUACCUCGUGCACCUAUUGAUUUGUUGCCUCUUCCAUCUUCGGAGAAGGUUAAUUUUGAUGCGAAACAACGUGCUGAAUUGAUUUUAAAAAUGCAUGAGUUAACUAAGGAAAACAUUGAGCGCAUGAAUGCUAAAUAUAAACUUGCUGGAGAUAAGGGUAGAAAACAUGUUGUGUUUGCACCUGGAGAUCUUGUUUGGUUACAUUUGCGUAAGGAUAGAUUUCCUGAUUUGCGCAAAUCAAAGUUAAUGCCACGUGCUGAUGGUCCCUUUAAGGUGUUAGAGAAAAUAAAUGAUAAUGCAUAUAAACUUGAGCUGCCUGCAGAUUUUGGGGUUAGUCCCACUUUUAACAUUGCAGAUUUGAAGCCUUAUUUGGGUGAGGAAGAU
rnacentral:rRNA from 1 species